GACGGAGGAUGCAAGCGUUAUCCGGAAUGAUUGGGCGUAAAGCGUCCGCAGGUGGCAGUUCAAGUCUGCUGUCAAAGACCGGGGCUUAACUUCGGAAAGGCAGUGGAAACUGAACAGCUAGAGUAUGGUAGGGGCAGAGGGAAUUCCUGGUGUAGCGGUGAAAUGCGUAGAGAUCAGGAAGAACAUCGGUGGCGAAGGCGGUUCUCUGGGCAUUACCUGACGCUGAGGAGCGAAAGUGUGGGGAGCGAACAGG
rnacentral:rRNA from 1 species